rnacentral:rRNA from 2 species
GUAACUGCGAAUGGCUCAUUAUAUAAGUUAUCGUUUAUUUGAUAGUACCUUACUACUUGGAUAACCGUGGUAAUUCUAGAGCUAAUACAUGCUAAAAAUCCCGACUUCGGAAGGGAUGUAUUUAUUAGAUUAAAAACCAAUGCCCUCUGGGCUCUCUGGUGAUUCAUGAUAACUUCUCGAAUCGCAUGGCCUUGUGCCGGCGAUGGUUCAUUCAAAUUUCUUCCCUAUCAACUUUCGAUGUUUGGGUAGUGGCCAAACAUGGUUGCAACGGGUAACGGAGGGUUAGGGCUCGACCCCGGAGAAGGAGCCUGAGAAACGGCUACUACAUCCAAGGAAGGCAGCAGGCGCGCAAAUUACCCAAUCCCGAUUCGGGGAGGUAGUGACAAUAAAUACCGAUACAGGGCUCUUUUGGGUCUUGUAAUUGGAAUGAGUACAAUUUAAAUCCCUUAACGAGGAACAAUUGGAGGGCAAGUCUGGUGCCAGCAGCCGCGGUAAUUCCAGCUCCAAUAGCGUAUAUUAAAGUUGUUGUGGUUAAAAAGCUCGUAGUUGAACCUUGGGCCUGGCUGGCCGGUCCGCCUCACCGCGUGUACUGGUCCGGCCGGGCCUUUCCCUCUGUGGAACCCCAUGCCCUUCACUGGGCGUGGCGGGGAAACAGGACUUUUACUUUGAAAAAAUUAGAGUGCUCCAGGCAGGCCUAUGCUCGAAUACAUUAGCAUGGAAUAAUGAAAUAGGACGUGCGGUUCUAUUUUGUUGGUUUCUAGGACCGCCGUAAUGAUUAAUAGGGACAGUCGGGGGCAUCAGUAUUCAAUUGUCAGAGGUGAAAUUCUUGGAUUUAUUGAAGACUAACUACUGCGAAAGCAUUUGCCAAGGAUGUUUUCAUUAAUCAGGAACGAAAGUUAGGGGAUCGAAGACGAUCAGAUACCGUCGUAGUCUUAACCAUAAACUAUGCCGACUAGGGAUCGGACGAUGUUA